CACUCAGCCCGACUCUGAGCCUGGGCUGUUUGGAACACCGGUUACCUUAAUCCUUCCGUGGUGUCAGGAUGAUGGCUCUGCGUGGUCGGGAAGCGAGAGCUGGCGGGUUAUUUGUGGAUGAGAGGUCUUCUACAACUCUUCCAGAGGAACAGACCAGCCAGGGGCUGUGGGCACAGGAAGCUUUGGGCCUGUCCUUUCCCAGUGCGUCUUGUGUGGUCAGAGCCCAGGAGGACCUCAGCAGAGGAAAGACAGUUCAGGCUAUGACCACUCAGCGGCUGCUCCUUCUGCCA
rnacentral:lncRNA from 1 species